rnacentral:rRNA from 1 species
GACAGAGGGGGCAAGCGUUGCUCGGAAUCACUGGGCGUAAAGGGCGCGUAGGCGGGAUGGCAAGUCGGUCGUGAAAUCCUUCGGCUCAACCGAAGAACGUCGGCCGAUACUGCCGUUCUUGAGGGAUGCAGAGGAGAUUGGAAUUCCCGGUGUAGCGGUGAAAUGUGUAGAGAUCGGGAGGAACACCGGUGGCGAAGGCGGGUCUCUGGGCAUCUCCUGACGCUGAGGCGCGAAAGCGUGGGGAGCAAACAGG